AGUAACGCGUGGGUAACCUGCCUCAUACAGGGGGAUAACAGUUAGAAAUGACUGCUAAUACCGCAUAAGCGCACAGUGCUGCAUGGCACAGUGUGGAAAACUCCGGUGGUAUGAGAUGGACCCGCGUCUGAUUAGCUAGUUGGUGGGGUAACGGCCUACCAAGGCGACGAUCAGUAGCCGGCCUGAGAGGGUGGACGGCCACAUUGGGACUGAGACACGGCCCAAACUCCUACGGGAGGCAGCAUG
rnacentral:rRNA from 1 species